UGGUGUACAGACCCAAGGAAGUGUUGCUCAGCUGGUUUGGUGUAUCUGGUGUAACCAGCUGAGCCACACUUCCUUGAGUCUGUACACCAG
rnacentral:pre_miRNA from 1 species